UAGGGAAUCUUCCGCAAUGGACGAAAGUCUGACGGAGCAACGCCGCGUGAGUGAUGAAGGUCUUCGGAUCGUAAAACUCUGUUAUCAGGGAAGAACAAGUAUCGGAGUAACUGCCGGUACCUUGACGGUACCUGACCAGAAAGCCACGGCUAACUACGUGCCAGCAGCCGCGGUAAUACGUAGGUGGCAAGCGUUGUCCGGAAUUAUUGGGCGUAAAGCGCGCGCAGGCGGUCUCUUAAGUCUGAUGUGAAAGCCCACGGCUCAACCGUGGAGGGUCAUUGGAAACUGGGAGACUUGAGUGCAGAAGAGAAGAGCGGAAUUCCACGUGUAGCGGUGAAAUGCGUAGAGAUGUGGGGGAACACCAGUGGCGAAGGCGGCUCUUUGGUCUGUAACUGACGCUGAGGCGCGAAAGCGUGGGGAGCGAACA
rnacentral:rRNA from 1 species